rnacentral:rRNA from 1 species
AGCAGCCGCGGUAAUUCCAGCUCCAAUAGCGUAUAUUAAAGUUGUUGCAGUUAAAAAGCUCGUAGUUGAACUUCAGGAUCAAGGAAUCGGUCAUGCCUUGGUAUGUACUGGUUUUAUUGGUUCUCACCUUCUAAAGAACCAUAAUGUCAUUCAUUUGAUGUUAUGGGGAAUUAGGACUGUUACCUUGAAAAAAUUAGAGUGUUUAAAGCAGGCUUACGCUUGAAUACAUUAGCAUGGAAUAAUGAAAUAGGACAUCCGAUUCUAUUUUGUUUGGUUUCUUAGGAUCGAUGUAAUGAUUAAUAGGGAUAGUUGGGGGCAUUAGUAUUCAAUUGUCAGAGGUGAAAUUCUUGGAUUUAUUGAAGACUAACUACUGCGAAAGCAUUUGCCAAGGAUGUUUUCAUUAAUCAAGAACGAAAGUUAGGGGAUCGAAGACGAUC